rnacentral:rRNA from 1 species
UACACUUUAAAUCCUUUAACGAGGAUCUAUUGGAGGGCAAGUCUGGUGCCAGCAGCCGCGGUAAUUCCAGCUCCAAUAGCGUAUAUUAUUAUUGUUGCGGUUAAAAAGCUCGUAGUUGGAUCUCGGUUUCGGGCGAGCGGUGUACCUUGCGGUAUUUACUGUUUGCCCGGACGAUUUUGUUGGUUCGUUUAUGGUUCUCUUAACCGAGUGCCAUAAGUGGCCAGCACGUUUACUUUGAAAAAAUUGGAGUGCUCAAAGCAGGCGCUACAGCCUGAACAUUAGUGCAUGGAAUAAUGGAAUAGGAUCUCGGUUCUAUUUCGUUGGCUUUCGGAGUCGAGGUAAUGAUUAAUAGGGACAGACGGGGGCAUUCGUACUGCGAGGUUAGAGGUGAAAUUCUUGGAUCGUCGCAAGACGAACUACUGCGAAAGCAUUUGCCAAGAAUGUUUUCAUUAAUCAAGAACGAGAGUUAGAGGUUCGAAGGCGAUCAGAUACCGCCCUAGUUCUAACCAUAAACGAUGUCGACCGGCGAUCCGUUAUCGUUAACUGAAUGACUUAACGGGCAGCCUCCGGGAAACCAGAGUGUUUGGAUUCCGGGGGAAGUAUGGUUGCAAAGCUGAAACUUAAAGGAAUUGGCGGAAGGGCACCACCAGGAGUGGAGCCUGCGGCUUAAUUUGACCCAACACGGGAAAUCUCACCAGGCCCGGACACCGGAAGGAUUGACAGAUUGAGAGCUCUUUCUUGAUUCGGUGGGUGGUGGUGCAUGGCCGUUCUUAGUUGGUGGAGCGAUUUGUCUGGUUAAUUCCGAUAACGAACGAGACUCUGGCCUACUAACUAGACGUUAGAUCCCUUUGUGGGUCUAUCGCAGCUUCUUAGAGGGACGGGCGGCGUUUAGCCGCACGAGAUCGAGCAAUAGCAGGUCUGUGAUGCCCUUAGAUGUUCUGGGCUGCACGCGCGCUACACUGAAGGAAUCAGCGUGUGUUCCCUACCCGAAAGGGUUGGGAAACCCGUUGAACCUCCUUCGUGAUGGGGAUUGGGGAUUGCAAUUAUUCCCCAUGAACGAGGAAUUCCCAGUAGGCGCGAGUCAUAAGCUUGCGUCGAUUACGUCCCUGCCCUUUGUACACACCGCCCGUCGCUACUACCGAUCGAGUGAUUUAGUGAGGCCUUCGGACUGGUCUUCAGUAUGGCUUUCGGGUCGUGUUGGAGUACCGGAAAGAUGACCAAACUUGAUCACUUAGAGGAAGUAAAAGUCGUAACAAGGUUUCCGUAGGUGAACCUGCGGAAG